GAUGAACGCUGGCGGCGUGCCUAACACAUGCAAGUCGAACGGAGUCCAGCCUUUAAGACCUUCGGGUCAAAGAGGGGAAGCCUGAGUGGCGGACGGGUGAGUAACACGUGGGCAACCUGGCUCAUAGAGGGGGAUAACAGAGAGAAAUUUCUGCUAAUACCGCAUAAGCACACACUGCCGCAUGGCAGAGGGUGAAAAGAGAAUCGCUAUGAGUUGGACCCGCGUCUGAUUAGCCAGUUGGCAGGGUAAGAGCCUACCAAAGCGACGAUCAGUAGCCGAUCUGAGAGGAUGACCGGCCACAUUGGGACUGAGACACGGCCCAAACUCCUACGGGAGGCAGCAGUGGGGGAUAUUGCACAAUGGGGGGAACCCUGAUGCAGCGACGCCGCGUGAGUGAAGAAGUAUUUCGGUAUGUAAAGCUCUAUCAGCAGGGAAGAUAAUGACAGUACCUGAAUAAGAAGCCCCGGCUAACUACGUG
rnacentral:rRNA from 1 species